UGGGGAAUAUUGCACAAUGGGGGAAACCCUGAUGCAGCGACGCCGCGUGAACGAAGAAGGUAUUCGUAUCGUAAAGUUCUGUCCUAUGGGAAGAUAAUGACAGUACCAUAGAAGAAAGCUCCGGCUAAAUACGUGCCAGCAGCCGCGGUAAUACGUAUGGAGCGAGCGUUGUCCGGAAUUAUUGGGCGUAAAGGGUACGCAGGCGGUUUAAUAAGUCGAAUGUUAAAGAUCGGGGCUCAACCCCGUAAAGCAUUGGAAACUGAUAAACUUGAGUAGUGGAGAGGAAAGUGGAAAUCCUAGUGUAGAGGUGAAAUACGUAGAUAGUAGGAGGAAUACCAGUAGCGAAGGCGACUUUCUGGACACACACUGACGCUGAGGUACGAAAGCGUGGGGAGCAAACAGG
rnacentral:rRNA from 1 species